rnacentral:tRNA from 2 species
AAAUCCGUCGACUUUUAAAAUCGUGAGGGUUCAA